UACGUAGGUGGCAAGCGUUGUCCGGAUUUAUUGGGUUUAAAGGGUGCGUAGGCGGCCUUGUAAGUCAGUGCUGAAAUAUCCCGGCUUAACCGGGAGGGUGGCAUUGAUACUGCAGGGCUUGAGUAAAGUUGAGGUUGGCGGAAUUGACGGUGUAGCGGUGAAAUGCUUAGAUAUCGUCAAGAACACCGAUAGUGAAGACAGCUAACUAAGCUUUAACUGACGCUGAGGCACGAAAGCGUGGGGAGCAAACAGG
rnacentral:rRNA from 1 species